rnacentral:rRNA from 1 species
GAUGAACGCUAGCGAUAGGCCUAACACAUGCAAGUCGAGGGGCAGCACAUGAGUAGCAAUACGAUGGUGGCGACCGGCGCACGGGUGAGUAACACGUAUGCAACCUACCUCUAACAGGGGGAUAACCCGUUGAAAGACGGACUAAUACCCCAUAAUACAGGGGCUCCGCAUGGAGAUAUUUGUUAAAGAUUUUAUCGGUUAGAGAUGGGCAUGCGUUCCAUUAGCUAGUUGGUGAGGUAACGGCUCACCAAGGCGACGAUGGAUAGGGGAACUGAGAGGUUUAUCCCCCACACUGGAACUGAGACACGGUCCAGACUCCUACGGGAGCAGCAGUGAGGAAUAUUGGUCAAUGGAGGCAACUCUGAACCAGCCAAGUCGCGUGAAGGAUGAAGGUCUUAUGGAUUGUAAACUUCUUUUGCAGGGGAAUAAAUAGCGGUACGUGUACCGUUUUGCAUGUACCCUGCGAAUAAGGAUCGGCUAACUCGUGCCAGC